rnacentral:rRNA from 1 species
AGUGAACGCUGGCGGUAGGCCUAACACAUGCAAGUCGAACGGCAGCACAGUAAGAGCUUGCUCUUACGGGUGGCGAGUGGCGGACGGGUGAGGAAUACAUCGGAAUCUACUUUUUCGUGGGGGAUAACGUAGGGAAACUUACGCUAAUACCGCAUACGACCUACGGGUGAAAGCAGGGGAUCUUCGGACCUUUCGCGAUUGAAUGAGCCGAUGUCGGAUUAGCUAGUUGGCGGGGUAAAGGCCCACCAAGGCGACGAUCCGUAGCUGGUCUGAGAGGAUGAUCAGCCACACUGGAACUGAGACACGGUCCAGACUCCUACGGGAGGCAGCAGUGGGGAAUAUUGGACAAUGGGCGCAAGCCUGAUCCGGCCAUACCGCGUGGGUGAAGAAGGCCUUCGGGUUGUAAAGCCCUUUUGUUGGGAAAGAAAAGCAGCAGGUUAAUACCCCGCUGUUCUGACGGUACCCAAAGAAUAAGCACCGGCUAACUUCGUG